rnacentral:rRNA from 1 species
UACGAAGGGGGCUAGCGUUGCUCGGAAUCACUGGGCGUAAAGGGUGCGUAGGCGGGUCUUUAAGUCAGGGGUGAAAUCCUCCGGCUCAACCGGAGAACUGCCUUUGAUACUGGUCAUCUCGAGUGAGGUAGGGGCAUGCGGAACUGAUGGUGGAGCGGUGAAAUGUGUUGAUAUCAUCAGGAACUCCGGUGGCGAAAGCGGCGUGCUGGACCUUUACUGACGCUGAUGCGCGAAAGCUAGGGGAGCGAACAGG